rnacentral:rRNA from 1 species
UCUCAGCACACCCGUGAGACCCUUUACCUUAACCAGGCCAAGGAGCUGGCAUCAGGCUCAACCUUCUGCCCAUAACGCCUAGUCUCACCACACCCCCAAGGGUAUUCAGCAGUGAUAAAUCUUGCGUAUAAGCGAUAGCUUGACUCAGUUAGAGAAAAGAGGGCCGGCUAACCCGGUGCCAGCCGCCGCGGCUACACCGUGGGGCCCGAGCUGAUGGUCAUCGGCGUUAAGCGUGAUUAAAGUUCCCACCAAUUAGGGUUAAAUUAACACUUAGUAGUGAUAAGCUUGUUGUUAAGAGAACCGUAAACGAAAGUUACCCUAAUUACACUUGAAUACACGACAGCUAGGAGACAAACUGGGAUUAGAUACCCCACUAUGCCUAGCCGUAAACAAUUAACUCACACCAACCAACGCCAGGGAAUUACGAGCUAUGCUUAAAACCCAAAGGACUUGACGGUGUCCCACCCACCUAGAGGAGCCUUUUCUAUAAUCGAUGAUCCCCGAUACACCUAACCAUUCCUCGCCCAUCAGUCUGUAUACCUCCGUCGAAAGCCUACCAUGUGAACGCUUACAGUAGGCCCAAUGAUUCAACACGUCAGGUCAAGGUGCAGCUUACGGAAUGGAAAGCAAUGGGCUACAAUUUCUAGUUUAGAACAAACGAAAGACUCUGUGAAACCCUAGUCAUGAAGGCGGAUUUAGUAGUAAAAGGAAAAUAGAGUGUUCCUUUUAACCUGGCUCUGGGACGCGUA